GGGAGCACAGGUGGUUGUAUAGCCCGACUCACCUGGACCAGCCAAAUAGGGGUGGAGCAGCACAGGAGAAGGCCAUGACCCAGGUGAAAGCGAUGCCCAUCAUGGCGUGGGUAGCAGAGAAGCGGAAGUUUCCCAUGGGCUUGCAGACAACGAUGUAACGCUCUAUAGCCAAGACCACCAGGGACCAGAGGGCAACCUGGCCUGCAGGAGGGAGGAAAAGACAGAGGGUCUGGUGAUGGUGAGAGCUCCUUCAGACUUGGUUUUCCCUCCAUGGUCACAGCAAAGAACAGAGGAGACUGGGAUCAGGAUUCGCUGGAGACCUGCUGCUCAGUGACUGCUUCCCAUCAAGCUUUCCUCCCUGUGCUCAGGAGCCUCCUCUCUUUACUGGCUGGGAAAACUGGAAGCGGAAGAAGAACCUUGCACGAGGAGCUCUGCCCCAUGCAGCCAAGGCCAUCUCAUCAGCCCCAUAAGAGUAUGGGAUUGAGUUUCUAAAGCCCUAUAAAGAAGCAAGACCACCCUCUGCCCAGCCUGGCCCUCUCCCCCACAUCCCACUCUGAAGCUGUUACCUCCCAGAGUGGCGAAGAAGCCCUCGACGGCGCA